AACGCACCUUGCACCCUUUGGUAUUCCGAAGGGUAUGCCUGUUUGAGUGUCAUUAAAUUCUCAACCAUUGAAGUUUUCACGAACUUUCUCUGGCUUGGAUGUGGGGGUUGCGGGUCUCUCUGAGAUCGGCUCCUCUUAAAAGCAUUAGUGGGAACCGUUUGUAGGGGUUCAAUAUUAUUCACUUGACGUGAUAGUUUAUCGUCGUCAUCCAGUUGAAUAGGAACUCUGAGGAUCUUGCUUUCUAACCGUCCGCAAGGACAACUUCAUUUUAAUGUGACCUCAAAUCAGGUAGGACUACCCGCUGAACUUAA
rnacentral:misc_RNA from 1 species